UACAGAGGGUGCGAGCGUUGUUCGGAAUUACUGGGCGUAAAGCGCACGUAGGCGGACUGUUAAGUCGGGUGUGAAAUCCUGGGGCUCAACCUCAGAAUUGCCUCCGAUACUGGCAGUCUCGAGUGCGGGAGAGGUGAGUGGAAUUCCCAGUGUAGAGGUGAAAUUCGUAGAUAUUGGGAAGAACACCAGUGGCGAAGGCGGCUCACUGGCCCGUAACUGACGCUGAGGUGCGAAAGCGUGGGGAGCAAACAGG
rnacentral:rRNA from 1 species